rnacentral:rRNA from 1 species
AUUGAACGCUGGCGGCAUGCUUUACACAUGCAAGUCGGACGGCAGCACAGAGAAGCUUGCUUCUUGGGUGGCGAGUGGCGAACGGGUGAGUAAUAUAUCGGAACGUACCGAGUAAUGGGGGAUAACUAAUCGAAAGAUUAGCUAAUACCGCAUAUUCUCUGAGGAGGAAAGCAGGGGACCUUCGGGCCUUGCGUUAUUCGAGCGGCCGAUAUCUGAUUAGCUAGUUGGUGGGGUAAAGGCCUACCAAGGCGACGAUCAGUAGCGGGUCUGAGAGGAUGAUCCGCCACACUGGGACUGAGACACGGGCCAGACUCCUACGGGAGGCAGCAGUGGGGAAUUUUGGACAAUGGGCGCAAGCCUGAUCCAGCCAUGCCGCGUGUCUGAAGAAGGCCUUCGGGUUGUAAAGGACUUUUGUCAGGGAAGAAAAGGAUAGGGUUAAUACCCCUGUUCGAUGACGGUACCUGAAGAAUAAGC